UGGAAGUAAAGAGGAAUGGUGAUUUGGGA
rnacentral:piRNA from 1 species